rnacentral:rRNA from 1 species
UACGAAGGGGGCUAGCGUUGCUCGGAAUCACUGGGCGUAAAGGGUGCGUAGGCGGGUCUUUAAGUCAGAGGUGAAAUCCUGGAGCUCAACUCCAGAACUGCCUUUGAUACUGAGGAUCUUGAGUACGGGAGAGGUGAGUGGAACUGCGAGUGUAGAGGUGAAAUUCGUAGAUAUUCGCAAGAACACCAGUGGCGAAGGCGGCUCACUGGCCCGUAACUGACGCUGAGGCACGAAGGCGUGGGGAGCAAACAGG